rnacentral:lncRNA from 1 species
GCCUUCCAUUAGCCCUGGAAGUGUUGGGCUCAUUCCUACGUGGAAGAAAGGAACCUGAAUGGAAAAGUACGUUGCAUAAACUCUCUAAAAUUCCUGAAUCAAAAAUCAAUCGAGUUCUCAAGAUAAGCUUCGAUGGAUUGGACGAGAAUGAGAGGGAGAUUUUCCUUGAUAUUGCUUGUUUCUUUAAGGGGAAAAGUAUAAAGGACAUCAAGGAAGUUCUUGACAGCUGUGAUUUCGACACAAUCAUAGGAAUAGAAAUUCUCAUCGAAAGAUCCUUGAUAAAAAAUGAGGACGAGACCUUGCAAAUGCAUGAUUUGAUUCAGUCGAUGGGUCAAGAUAUUGUUAAUCAAGCAUGUCGUGAUGAUCCUGGGAAACGCAGCAGAUUAUGGCUUUUGGAGGAUGUUGAGGACGUUUUUUGUUAUAAUACGGUAAAAGUUGUUUAUGUCAGUUUUGCUACAUUUUGGUUUACAUUACUCUAAUUUGAACGGUCUAACGUAAAUCUUAAUUGAAAAUUUUGUCUGACAACUGAAUUUGCUCUGUUAUGGAUAGGGGACGGAUGCAGUAAAGGCCAUAGUAUUGGACUGGCCCCUACCAAAAGCGAUAAUCAUCAGUCCUGAUACUUUCGCAAAUAUGAAAAAGUUGAGAAUGCUCAUUUUGCUUGGAGGACAUAUCUCUUCACAAGCUCAAGUACGUCUCCCUAACGAGUUAAGAUGGCUUGAAUGGCCCAAUGCCCCGAAUCUAGAAUUUGGCUCCUGUCCAAAGAAGCUCAUGAGACUCGAUGUCCCAAAAAGUCAUAUUAGACAAUUAGGGGGCAACUCUCAGGUAAGCCCUUGUGAUGAUUAGCUUUUCCUUUUUAUAGCUAUAAAAAACAUUCGCAGAUCUUAAUGACCGCAUUAGCAUGUUUUUGCAGAAAUUUAGCAAGCUGAAGUCCAUCGAUUUCAGUGAAUGCAAGUCCCUGGUUAGUAUUCACGACCUGUCAUCGGCUCCAAAUAUGGAGAAAUUGAUUCUUAAGGGGUGUGAAAGCUUGGUGGAGGUUCACCCAUCCAUUGGAGAUCUUGUCAAGCUAGAAGUUUUGUCACUAGAAUUGUGCUCUAAUCUUAGAAAUUUUCUUAACAUGCUGAAGACUAAAUCUCUUCAAACCCUUGUGCUCCAUGGUUGCUCUAAACUUGAGAAGUUCCCAGAUAUAGUCGGAAAGAUGGAACAUCUGAAAAGACUUGAUCUACAUGGGACAGCUAUUAAAGAACUCCCUGCGUCAAUUGAAAAUCUUGUCUCUGUGGAGUCGAUGAAUUUAGCAUCUUGCAAAAACCUCGUGAGGCUUCCGUUGCAAAUUUAUAAGUUGAAGAAUCUCGAGUCCCUUGAUCUUGGGGACUGCUCGAAUUUAAUUACGUUUCCAAAAAACAUGGAGGAUUCAACUGAUCCUCAUGGCUGUUUGGGAUUCCGAAGACUACGCCAACUACACCUUUAUGGCUGCAAUCUAUCAGAAGUAGAGUUCCUUGAGAAUUUUUCCAGUUUUCCCGCAUUGGAGUUUCUACACCUUCAAUAUAACAAGUUUACUCAUAUGCCGACAUGCAUCAACAAGUACUAUUGUUUGCGCUCAUUGAAUGUUAGGGGAUGCGAAGUACUACAAGAGAUUCCUCAGCUUCCACCAGAUAUAGUUUAUCUAUAUGCAGAUUGUUGCAAAUCUCUACAAAUACUCCCAGAUUUGUGGGGUCAGCCCUCCCACACCUGGUCUGUUAGCUUGGUUUCAUGUUGUGAAUUAUUCGGCAAAGGGGUCAAUAUGGAUGAUGUGGCUAAUGUGUCAUUACUCGAGGUCUCUCUCUGUUUAUAUGUAUAUGUAUAUGUAUAUGUAUAUGUAUAUAACUUCAAAUGCUUGACAUGCGUACUUUCCGUGUGACAGAAACUGCCAAAGAUGAUAGAUGACGUCAGCAUUGUCGUAAUUGGAAGAGAGAUGCCUAAAUGGAUUCUCCCCUGUGAAGAGGAUUCCAUAUCUUUCAUGAUUCCCUGGGAGAUGUACGACAAGUUAAAAGGAGUAGCAGUCUGUGUUGUUCUUGGCCCGGAGGAAGGAAAAGUGGUCGAUGCUUCAUGUUCAUUCGAAAUAUUUGUUAAUGGCCAGUCAGCGGGUCAAUGGGUGGAAUCUUUUUAUUUAUUAGAAUCUGACCAUGUGUGGUUUUAUUAUUAUUAUAUACACCAUUUUGUAAUUUGGCAAAAUGAUGGGAUCCAUUACCAAGUUUGCCUCAGGGCAAAAAUAGCAAGCAUAAAGAAGUGUGGAUUCCGUCCAAUAUACGAGCAAAACGAGGAUAUUCUGAGGAUGGUGAUCCCAGCACCAUCCGACAAUGGAAACAAAUUGAAGUUUUCAAGGAGUGACUCAGAAGAAGAUUGUUCAAUAGACACCGUGGAAGCAGAUGUUCUAUUUGAAAUAUCUGCAGAGCAAAGCUCAUCACGUUUAACAAAGAAGAGAAGACGGUCUUAACUACGGUGAGACUAUGAGUUCCAAUGUCUUUACUUUUCCCUUUUCUGGGCCUCCACUAGAGAUUUGCAAGUGCCUGCUUCUUCAAUUAGAAUUCAAGAUCAUUAUAAGAUGGGUUUCGCACCAUGCUAUUGGCAUGAUUGAGGAACUUUUUUUUUUCUUUCUGCCUUGUUUCUCUAUGAUUUGUGAUGCUGAGUGCAUUAAACCAAAAAUUAAGAGGAUGCUUGUUAAAAUGGCCAUAGUCUUCCAAGUUACUCCGUGUAAUUUAUCACACGAGCCUCUGUCACCUCUCUUAAUCCAAUUAAUGAUGUCAAUAUUUGGUACUUCAAAAUUCUGAGAUAGUAAAGUUUGCUCAAUCUAGUAUAAUCUGCAUCUUUAGGAUAGUGUCGUUUGAAUUGUCUCAAACAUCAAGAGGUCUAAACAGGGAAAAUUAGUUGAUUCCUCUAUUGUUGGUCGGCAGAUUGCAUUGGAUAGGUAAAAAGGGAUAGCGCUAGCUUCUAAGAAACUUUGCAUUUUGGCAAAGGAGGUUGACUUCAAGGAUUUUCAUGAAAAGCAAAUAGUAUGUGGCGAACACCUUCUAAAAUAAGUAUCGCAAAGCAAUUUUGUCUUUUGAGUCCUUGGCCUACCCUUCGUCAUUCCAGAUUCGUUUGUCGAUCACAUCGAUGUCGCCCUCCACACCCUCGCCGCCGCGCAUAAGCAGCAUAUUUAUCUGAAAUCGAAAGCUGAAAACGUCCUCAUGAGCCAAAUUACCGAGUCCGGUCCAAUAUUUUCCUGAGAAUGGGACAGGCUGAGAGCGCUUGUUUCUUUAAAGCGAGAAAGAGCGAGAGCCAGAGCAAAGGGAAGAGAUCGUCGACUUCGCUGCCGAUCGGAGAAGGGCAACGCCGGGUCAGAGGCCGCCGUGCCUCUCCGAGAGCAAAGCCAACUCUGUUUCAGCCUUCAGCCCUUGAUUUUCGCAGCAAGACUCUCUGUUCCGAUGCUUGGCAUUCUAGGGAAGCACAUGUACCAUCAGCUCUUCUAAUGGCUGCUUCUUCGAACAUGAAAAGGAAUUACCAUGUGUUCCUCAGUUUCAGAGGGACAGAUGUCCGCCAUGGCUUCCUCAGUCAUCUCUACGCGGCUCUGGACCAGAAAGGAAUAUACACUUUUGUGGAUAGCGAAGAGCUUAGGAAAGGAGAGGAAAUAUCGCCGACGCUCAUGAGGGCGAUUGAGGAAUCGCGCAUUGCGAUCAUCGUUUUCUCUGAGGACUACACCUCCUCGCCGUGGUGUUUGGAAGAGCUCUUGAAAAUCAUGGAGUGCAAAAAGCGAAACGACCUGAUUGUGGUCCCUGUGUUUUACAAAGUGGAACCGAGAGAAGUAAGAGGAGGGAGAGAAAGAUAUGGGAGAGCUAUGACUAAGCAUGAGUCCAAGUUCGGAAAGGAUUUGCAGAAAGUGAAGAGAUGGAAGAAAGCUCUCUUUGAAGCCGGUAGCUUGUCUGGGUGGCCCUUGAAUGACAAGUACGCACAAAUGUGACGCGGUGCUUUGCGGUUGUUAGCUUGUGAUUGUUUGUUAGAUAUCAAAUCGUAUGUAUAGCUGCGAAUUGCCGAUGCAUCAACUUCUUUGAAUUCGCUGUAGACACAAAAGUCGAAAAACCAAAAUUUCAAGCUAGCAGAAAUUUUAGUCUUAGAAAAGUAGUGUGGUUCCUAGGACCCGAGUAUUUUGUGUCUUCAGGCGCAGAUUCUUUGUAAUUUUCCUUCCGCAGAUGUUGGUGCCGGUAUGUGUUAUUUCUUUUCAUCUUUUUAUUUGUUAAUCUCCUUAUGAAAUUUUCCUUAUGACGUUAGACAUUGAAUUCCUGCCAUGGCUUGAAAUGGUAAAACAUGUUUCUAUUUCUUUUGAGUGCUCAUCAGACAUGAAGCGGAGCUCAUACAAUCCAUCACCGAGGAAUUAUCAAGUCGUCUCAGACCAAGAUCCUUAGAUGUUGCUAAGUAUCCGGUCAAUAUAGAUUCCCGAGUUCAAAAACUGAUAAGUUUGUCAUAGUCAGCUGGUAGUGAGGUUUUGAUGAUAGAUCUAUGGGGACUUGGCGGCAUAGGGAAGACUAUGAUUGCUAAGGCCCUAUAUAAUGCUAUUAAGAAGCAAUUUCAGGGUUGUAGUUUUUUGGCACAAGUCAGAGAAAAAUCGAACCAAAGCGAUGGUCGUGUUGCUUUGCAAAAACAACUUCUAUCUGAGAUCUUACCUCAUACAGAAUUACCCGGUCUACAAUGUUGAUGGAGGAAUUAGUUGAUACGAGAAAGACUAUGUUGCAAGAAGGUUCUCCUAGUUCUUGAUGAUGUUGAUAAGAUAGAUCAACUACAUGCCUUAGCUAGAAGAGGCAAUUGGUUUGGCCAAGGAAGUAGAAUCAUUGUUACGUCAAGGGAUAAACAUUUACUAACUUCUCAUACCAUAAAUUGUGUGUAUGAAGUUAAAACUUUACAAGAUGACAAAGCACGAGACCUAUGACGACCCAGACCCGAGGCAGUACGGAGGGACGGACUAAGAUCACCUCGGCAGUACGUGGGCAAGGCUAAGAGCAUUUCUCCUGUCCCACAUCGCUUAGGGGGAGAGUCCUAGGCUAGUUUAUAAUGGCUUGGGCCUCUCUAAUCUGUGUAACGUGUUUCACGUACGCUUCCGCUGCGCUGAAAACAAAGCCGUGAGGGAGGACGGGCCGGUGGGCCAUGCCUCCAAAGUAGACAAUAUUAUGGCUUGGGAGAGGGAAGGCUUGAGGGAUGGCCCUAUGUCCCUGCGUAAUGCGUUUUAAGUCCGUGAGGACUCAGUGUCCAAAGCAAACAAUAUUACAUAAUGGGGCUCGGGUCAUUACAAAUGGUAUUGAAGCAGACUCCUGACCACGUGUGGGGCCACAGCGAGGGCACUGUGCCUUAAGAGGGGGAGAAUGUGAUGACCCAAACCCGGGGCAGUACAGAGGGACGGACUAAGAUCGCCUCAGCAGUACGCGGGCAAGGCUAAGGGCAUUUCUCUUGUCCCACAUCACUUAGGGUGAGAGUCCUGGGCUAAUUUAUAAUAACUUGGGCCCCUCUAAUCUGUGUAAUGCAUUUCACGUAUGCUUCCACUACGCUAAAAACAAAGCCGUGAGGGAGGAUGGGCCGGUGGGCCGUGCCUCCAAAGCGGACAAUAUUAUGGCUUGGGAGAGGGAAGGCCCGAGGGAUGGCUCUCUGCCUUUGCGGAACGCGUUUUAAAGCCGUGAGGACUCAGUGUCCAAAGCGGACAAUAUUACACAGUAGGGCUUGGGUCAUUACAAGACCUUUUUGGUCAAUGUCCAAAGCGGACAAUAUUACAUAGUAGGGCCCGGGUCAUUACAAGACCUUUUUGGUCAGCACGCCUUUACAAAUAGCAAUGAAGUAGAAAUAAGAAGGGAUCUCAUAGAUGGAGCACUGCAUUAUGCCAACGGCCUUCCGUUAGCCCUGGAAGUGUUGGGCUCAUUCUUAUGUGGAAGAAAGGAACCUGCAUGGGAAAGUGCAUUGCAUAAACUCUCCAAAAUUCCUGAACCAACUAUCAAUCAAGUUCUCAAGAUAAGCUUCGAUGGAUUAGACGACAAUGAGAGGGAGAUUUUCCUCGAUAUUGCUUGUUUCUUUAAGGGAAAGAGAAUAGAAUACAUCCAGGAAGUUCUUGACAGCUGUG